ensembl:ncRNA T24B8.10 ncRNA
AAUAUGAAAACUAAGGUCCUCUUCUCCACUGCUUGGUGUAGAACUAAGCGAGGAGGGGUUGCCGAGCUCCCCAUUUCGGCGCGCGUGGAGGCGGGGUCUCAGUGUGGUCGGCGAUUACUCUGCGUGCCUGCCCACCCGGCGGCCGCCUCUUUGCUCUAAGUCUCUUCGUCUAACACGCUAUUUCUCGAAAAAAGCGACGUUUACCGUACCUGAUGGUCAGAG